rnacentral:rRNA from 1 species
CUACGGGUGGCACCAGUGGGGAAUUUUGCGCAAUGGGGGAAACCCUGACGCAGCAAUACCGCGUGAGUGAAGAAGGCCUUUGGGUCGUAAAGCUCUUUUCUUGGGGAAGAUAGUGACGGUACCCAAGGAAUAAGCACCGGCUAACUCCGUGCCAGCAGCCGCGGUAAUACGGAGGGUGCAAGCGUUGUUCGGAUUUACUGGGCGUAAAGGGCACGUAGGCGGCACAGCAAGUUAAGGGUGAAAUCCCGGGGCUCAACUCCGGAACUGCUCUUAAAACUGCUGAGCUAGAGAUAGUCAGAGGCGGGUGGAAUUCCAGGUGUAGAGGUGAAAUUCGUAGAUAUCUGGAGGAACACCGGUGGCGAAGGCGGCCCGCUGGGGCUAUUCUGACACUAAGGUGCGAAAGCGUGGGGAGCAAACGGGAUUAGAUACCCUGGUAGUC